GAAAAUUAAAAUAUUUAAAAACAAUUAAAAUGCUUACUUCUGUUUUAGACGGAAUACGAAUAUUAACAGAAAUUAGUGAAAUUACAAAAAAAAAAAAAAGAAUUCGGUCAUGUUCAGUGAGGGAAAUAAACAGAAAGAGGAAAAAUUAUGGUUUUUUUGCACGUUUCCUAGAAAUGAAAAGGAUUGACCACACUCAUUUCUGUAUAUACACACGAAUGACGCCACAAGUAUAUGGACUUUUGCUUACUCUUGUUGAGCCCUUUUUAAAAAAGAAUUCGUUGAGGGAGCCUGUGCAUCCGGAAUGUCGAUUAGCUUUGACAUUACAAUAAUUAUCAGAAGGAACUUCGUUUCAAUCGUUGGCAUGGUCAUUUCAACUGGGGAAGGACACGGUUAGGCGUAUUAUUCUGGAGACAGCUGAAGUCCUUUGGACGAAGUUAGGCGUCGUUUAUGUAUCUGAGCCUAAUGAUGAGGAUUUCAAGCGAAUUUCUCAAAAUUUCUAUUGAUGUGAAGCACCUAAAAGCGAUAGUAAAUUUUUCUGCUACAAAAAAUUUUGUUCUAUUGUGUUGUUAGCAGUAUGCGAUUCACGAUAUCGGUUUACUUACAUAGAUAUUGGUGCAUAUGGAAGUCAGAGUGAUGGUGGCAUUUUUCAAGUGAGUCGAUUGGGAAAGAGGUUGCUAAAUCACAAACUUCCCAUCCCUCCACCGAAAGACUUACCAAAUACGCAACUAAAAACUCCACACUUCUUCGUUGGUGAUACUGCCUUUCCUUUAGGGAUAAAUUUAAUGCGCCCAUACCCUGGGUGAGUCCUACCAAAUAAAAAAGAGGUUUUUAAUAAAAGGUUAUCAAGAGCUCGUCGCACAAUUGAAAACUCUAUUGGAAUACUAGUAACGCGUUGGCGAGUUUUACUAACAACAUUACAUUUAUUUCCGGAAAAUGCGGAAAAAAUUGUUUUGGCGUGCGUUGCCUUACAUAAUUUUAUUAUGUUUAAUAAUGAAAAUGCAUCUUCGUAUAUAGCAAGCAACUAUGCUGAUUGGGAGGACUCUAAUGGUGAAUUUCAUGACGGUUUAUUGCGCAGAAAAGAAUAUCCCAUCGAUUGUGCAAUCUUCCAAUUUGGAUCAUUACGGUCGAAGAAGUUCUUUGGAAAUUAGAAAUAACUUA